rnacentral:rRNA from 1 species
GUCUUUUUGAUUUUAAUUUAAAGUCUAACCUGCUCAAUGAAUUUUAAAUAGCUGCGGUAUUUUGACCGUACAAAGGUAGCAUAAUCAAUAGUUUUUUAAUUGAAAACUGGAAUGAAGGGUUGAAUAAGAAAAUAACUGUCUCAAUUUAAUUUUAUUAAAACUUUAUUUUUAAGUUAAAAAGCUUAAAUUUAAUUUAAAGACGAGAAGACCCUAUAGAGUUUAAUUAUUUUAAGAAAUUUCAAUUUUAAAGAAUUUAAAAUUUAAUUUUUUAUAAUAAUUUAAUUGGGGUGAUUGAAAAAUUUAAUUAACUUUUUUUUAUUUAAUACAAUUAUUUUUGAAUUUAUGAUCCAUAAAAAUGAUUAUAAGAUUAAAUUACCUUAGGGAUAACAGCGUAAUUUUUUUUUAGAGUUCAAAUCGAAAAGAGAGAUUGCGACCUCGAUGUUGGAUUAAAAUUAAUUUUUGGUGUAGAAGCUAAAAUAUUAGGUCUGUUCGACCUUUAAAAUUUUACA